UACGUAGGCAGCGAGCGUUGUUCGGAAUUACUGGGCGUAAAGAGUGUGUAGGCGGUGCUCUAAGUUCGGUGUGAAAUCUCCCGGCUUAACUGGGAGGGUGCGCCGGAAACUGGAGUGCUCGAGCGUGGGAGAGGAAAGCGGAAUUCCUGGUGUAGCGGUGAAAUGCGUAGAUAUCAGGAGGAACACCUGCGGUGUAGACGGCUUUCUGGACCAUUGCUGACGCUGAGGCACGAAAGCGUGGGGAGCAAACAGG
rnacentral:rRNA from 1 species